AGGGGUGUGGUGAAAUUGGUAUCAUGCGGGUCUCCAAAACCCUUGUUCCAGGUUCAAGUCCUGGCACCCCUG
rnacentral:tRNA from 1 species